AGCCGCGGGGAGGAGCUGGGGCGGAGCCGGAGCAGCGGGGAGGAGCUGGGGCAAAGCUGAAGGGGAUGGCUCUGAGGCCCUGGGAGCCCAGGCCAGAUGGGCUCAGCCAGCUCCUUGGUGGAGGCCAGGCAGUGCCCUUUUGAGCCCCUGACCUAGGCCAGGCCGCGGCGGGAGGCAGGGAGCGGGCAGGGCCUCUGGGCCGAGUCCUGCACCUUGGGGCGACCGCCCAGGCCCGCUCCCCUCCUCCAAGCCACCCUGGGACUGGUGGCUGAGUCCCUGGGGGCAGUCUUUGUGGGAUGUUUUCUGCAGGUGAGAGGAAGGAUCCCCGCCGGGUGUCUUGCUGCCUCUGGCACCUGACCUGUUCCAGACAAAGCCACCUUCCGCUCAGAAGUCUUUUCCUGUCCUCUCCCAGGCAUAGCUGCGGCAUCCCCUGCUCCGCCUGGCCCGAGUGUCAGGCCCUCGUGUCUGUGAGUUCUGGUGGCACUCUGUACCUGCCCGCCCCGUCCUCCCCAGGGCUCGUCCUCCCCAGGGCUCUUCCUCCCGGGCGGGUGGCUGCUGUCCCGGAGACCGUGGCCCCUGCAGGGGCGCAGAGUCCCUUGAAGGCAAGGACAGAGUCUCCUCGGCUCUGUAAGCCCGGUGCCCGGUGGUUGCUCUGGAAAAGUGGCCUCGGCAGAGGCCUGCUCUCUCUCCCAGGGGGCUGCGCGUCCUCUCUCCUUCCAGAAGCCCGAGGACACAGGACUGCUGGCCAUGAGGUGAGGGACAGAGGGUGUCUUUGUGGAUUUUCAGCCUCAGGGCUGCGGGGACCCUAAGGCUCACGCGAUACCCAGCUCCCUCCUGCCGGCGGCCCCUCCUGGGCCUGUCGCCCUCGGAAGGGUGUCCAGCUGUGGCCAGGCAGCCCAGAGUCUCCUGGGAGUGACGUCACAUCACCAGGGAGGGUCCCCGGGUGGUGGGCCCUGGUGUCGCCCCGAAUGCUGUCGUUGGAGCCCAGGGCACCUGCUCAGAGUCAGCUCCCCUUUCUGGCCCCGUGCCCAGGUCACCAGCAGAACUCACGGUGCCCGCCGCCCUUCUAAGCACUGGCCUUUGGGCCCCUUCUAGUCCCCAGCGACUGGGAUCCAUCCAGCGCCCGGCUCCAGCUGCCCCCUGGGAACUGGCCAUGUCCACGCCUGGGUGCUCCCCUCCCUGGCUCUGCCAGCCCACCCAGUUUGGCCCUGGCCAUCGUCCUGCCCCUCCCUCCUGCUCCAGGGAUUCCUCCCCGGGCCGCUCUUCUCUGCGCCUGGCGCCCGCCCUGCUCUCCUCCUUUGCAGAGAGCCUGGGGUGGCAUCUUUGAGGCCCAGAGAGGGUCCCAGUGCACAGCUGCCGCGUGUUCUGGGGCCCCCCGGGCUGGGAUCGGCUUGACCCCGUUUCCCGGUUGCCCGGGAGUCCUUGCCAGGGCCGCUUUCCUCUGGGAGAGGCCUUUGGCCCGUCGUUCUACUGAGCUGCUUGUCGUCUUUGUGCCGAGUCGUGGGAGCUCUUCCUGGGGUCUGGGUGGGAAUGCGGCCUGGGGCCUUGUGUUCCAGCCGCUUCCUCCUGCCCCUCGCGGGCCGGUUUCCUCCUCUCUUUGCAGGCCGCUUUGGACGCGGGGUUCGCCUAGACGCUCUGAAUUGGAAGCGCCCCAGAGGUCGGGGAGUGUCCUACCCGCUGCGGGCCCCUGGGCCACUCCCAACCCGCGACGUGGGGCGGCGGCCCCCGAGGAGGAGGUGGCCUUGGGUCCAGCUCUGGGGCCUUGAGGAAGGGCCCCUUCUGGUCUGUGUAAGUGACUGGGGCGCCGCCCGGCUUGCGUUGCGCAUUGCCCCCCCGCAGGACCGACCACGGGCGGCCGCGCAGCCUUGUGUCCUCUGCCCCAGCUCUCCCUGCUCGCCUGCCCGGAUCUGGGCCGUGGCCAAGACACCCGCUGCCCGGCCCGCCUUCCUCCCUGUGCCCUGGGCAGCUCCCGCCGGCCCUGGCCCUCACCGCCUGGCCCGGAUCCAGUGCUCCAGCCCCAGAACCGUAGGAGUUUCUCAUUUGGCCUCAGCGACCCUCGGCGGCCUCUGCAAGAAGCUGCGGCGCGGGCUGGUGCCUGCACAGGGCACGUGGUCCAGGGAGUUUCCGGGCCCUUCUGGCGCUGCCCUGCUUGCAUUCCUGUCCCCGGCCAUUAUGUCACCUCUAACCUGGGGCGAGGGGCGCUCUUGGGCCUCGGGGGUGCUCUUGGAUCUCGGGGCCCUUGACCGCCCUCAGUCUCUGAGCAGAGAAGCUCCCACCGGGCACCUGGCCCUGCUCGGCUGCAGGGACCUCCCCGCGUCGGGCUGUGGCCGGCACCCGGGUGCGGCUUGUGUGUUUGUGAGACGCAGGGGCGGGAAGAGGGCUCUGGAGUGCGCGCUGCCCUCCCGGCACCCCGCCUCGUCUGUCCGGGGCUCCGGGGAGCGGGCCACUGCGCUCGCUUGGGGCGGUCGAGCCGCCCCUCGAGGGGCUGCGGGUCACCGUGACGCUGCGACGCUCAGGAAGAGAGGCUGUGAAGGGUCAGGAGCAGAGGACACUCCUCAGGGACACCCCGAGGCCAGGCGUCCCCAGCUGGGGUGUAUGUCCCCUGCUUUUGCUGUGCCUCUUUCCUUUAGUCCCUGGAGCUCACGCAGUGUCACCGUCCUGCCUGGGACUUUUCACGUAAGUUAAAUGCCAUCCCAGGUUCUGGAAGAUUCCUCAGAAAUCAUGGCGGGAAGCCCUGCUCCUCCUUCUGGCAGAUAUUGAUUCCAGGCGCUCUGGGCUCAAUACCAGCUGUCGCGGCCCCGGGAGUGGCCCGUCCUACCUGGGACCUGCGGCCCCUCUGCUCAGAAGCUGCAGCGCAGGGGGGGCCUCCUGAAGCCGAGACGGGGCUUUGGGCGCUCCCACCGCAGUGUCACUUGGACGCUGUGCCCGGCAGCCCCCUGCGCUCUGGUUGUCCAGUUUCCCAGCGUUGUGUCACCCAGUGCGUGGCCCGAGGUCCCUUUGGGAAGGGCUGGGGCCACUGCAGUGUCUACUUGCCUCGGUGGUGCCGCGUCCUUCUCCCUGGGGACCCGGCCACAUCCCCGGGCCCCAGUUCCGGUAUCUGAAAACCGGCUCGGGACAGGACCUGGGCAAGGGGUCAGGACCUGUUUAUGGGGGUGGCUGCCCUCGGCCUCCUGCUGUCCCGGCUCUUUCGAGUGUCCAUUUUAGACAGUCCCCUGGCCGCUUGCCUGUCCUUCCCACCCCCGAAGGCCGUGCCGUAGCGCCCACCCCCCGCUCUGUGGCCAGCAUCAGAGCUCCCGGUCAGCAGUGGCCAUCGUCAUCGUCCCCGGCUUGGCGGGCAGGCCCUCUGCCGCGGUUCCUGGGUGGCGGGGUGGGGGGUCCUCUCCUCCCUUCCCAGGCUCGGCGCCCCGCCCUCUUGGCCGGAGACUUGGCUCGGCCUGGCGGCCUGGCGGCCGGCUGCCCACCUCUUCCCGUCGUCCUGGACUCCGCUGCCUGCCGUGCUGAGGUCCCACAGCACAUGGGGGGGGUCCCCCUGUUUCCCGGACAGGGCACACCCGUGGGGAAGACCCGGGUCCCGUUUGGCUCCCUUGGGGGGAGGGAGGUGGGUGCAGUAGCUCCUUGUGGGGCGGGGGGAGCUGCGGGCCCAGAAGUUUCAGAGACACCAGGGGUCCGUCCGAUGCAGGGCCUCCCAGUCUCCCUGUCCCUGGUGUCGGGGGUGCGGGUUUUCCCGGGUGGGCUUUGGGCGCUGGUGUGACUGACCUGCUGGUGGGAGGUUCGGCCCCUCCUGUCGAACCCCGCGGGGACGUUUGUGGGCUGCCUGAGCCGGGGCUCCCCCGGGCUCUGACUCUGCCCUCUGCCCUAAGCUUCCCAUCCCCCUGCGGUCAGCAGAGCCCAGAAGUCCCCCUCGUCUGUUCACCCCCAUGCUCCGCACGCCUGGAUCUUCUCCCCCAGCAGGAAAUUCCUCUCCACCUGCCGGCCCAGCAAAGGCUCCAGCGUGAACGUUCCAGCAGCCGGACUCUGGCCUUGCACCCGGGGCUGGGUCUUUGUUGAGAGCAGGGCAGGUGAUGCCAGUCCCAAACCCAGAGCCCACCUUAGCGGCUGCUGUCUGGACCAGGGCAGAGCGCGACGGCUCAGGCUGGGCCGCUCGGGAAGCUGAUCCCGGGAGGGGGUUGGCGGUGCCACAGGCUGCCUGGGGGGAAUGGGGCAGGCUGUGCCUUCAGCCUGCUGUGUCGCCCUCACAGUUUCUGCCAGCCCGUCUGGGAGCUGCAGGGCAGGGACGGGCAUUAGAGGUCCCCGCCAUGGGCCCCGGCGGUCAGGCCUCGCUGUGCCCAAGGCCUCGCGACCCACAUCGACCGGCCGGCCGGCCGGGAGAACCAGCAUCCGGAACUGGUGCCCGAGGCGUGGCUCUGUGCUGAGUAGGCACGCGGGGCACCAGCUGCCUCGGUCCCGGCGGCUCCGCGCUCUGCCCUGCUGUGGGCCUGGUGGCAGGUACUUUGGCCUCGUGCCCCAGACCACCCCUGGGUUGGGGAGGGGACAUGCUUCCUGGGCUUUGGCUAAGUGGCCACCUCUGACAUCGGUGUGAGCGCAGCCUGAUGGAGGAGAGCAGAUCCGAGCACCAAACAUCAAAAGGCAAAGCACCUUUAUGUCCUCAGACAGCCAUCCUGUAGGAGGCGCCUUGUCAGCGCAGGGACACUGGUGUCCAUUGGCCUCUGUGUCACUGGGGCUGGGGGCGCUGGGGCAUCUUCCAGGCCGACCCGUGAACCGCAGAGUCUGAAACGAGGCAGAAGGAGGUUGGGUGAGCGUGAAGGGCGGGGAGCCGCUGACUCCGAGCAAGGGGCUGAGGAAGGGCCCGAGAGGAGGCCGUUUGGGGGGGUUCUCGACCUCAAAGGGUCUCCUUAGCUGGGGACGGGGGGAGGGUCCCCCGAAGGGCAUUCAGGGAACAGAGACAGGUAGUGAGAUCAUGGGAGAUGCAACUGGGAAACUAGAGGGGUUUCAGCUCAGAGGCCACCCUAAAGGGUCUGGGCUGCGCUCUGGGGACAGUGGGUGAGCGCCCUCACUUGCAGUUUUAAAAGCACACUCUUGCUUCUCUCCCUGAGAAGAACUCAUAAAUCACCCAUUUGCUGAAUCAGUGAUUUGACUUUUGUGGGCCUCCUGUGCACCAGGCAGUGGCUAGACAAGAGAGGUGCCCAGGUGAGACAUGGCCCUGUGUGGCCCAGGAGCCGCUUCCCCACCUGAGCAAUGGAACUGGCAGCAGCCGACUGUCCUGGCAGUGCUGCACAUACAUGCCUUUAUCUGCAGGCCACCUCCUCCUGGCGUCUCCUCAGCUUUCCAAUUCUUGUUCUUGACUUCAGAAAGAACUUUGGUGAGGUGAUGGGCCUGCCUCCGAGUACCAGGAGUACCAGGUUCUGACUGAUGAUGGCAAUGAACUGUCCAUCUCGAGUCACCUCGCACUCAUCAGCUGUUCACCAUGACAUGGUGCUGUGCCACUCUGGCCUUGGCAGAUGGAAGAGACAUGCCCGCCCGGAGUCAACCUGUGCAGUUUGGGUGAGGAGGCAGCAAAACUCAAACACUCCUCGGUUUUCUUCUCAAGAACUCAGCCGUCGGCACUCGCAGUAAAUGACAGGAGCCAGGUCCUUCUUUGGAGAUGGAGAGCUCCAUGCUGAGGAACCUACUGGGGAAGAGGGACUCCCUUGAGAAUAAAAUCCACUCUGCUAAUUAUCACGCUUUCUGCCACAGUGCCACAGACACCCUUGACUGCACGUUCCACAGCUGUGCCGAACGUUUCAAGAGAAAAUUAGCUUGUGUCUUCUGCAAAGCCUUCCUCCUGGAGGCUCUCCGGAAUGGGGGAUAGGGCUGCAGAAACCUAUCUUCUUCUCACAGCCCCUGUAUCCCCACAAAAGAGGAGGGUUUGGCUCUUAGCCCUACUCUUCACCAGCUGCAUGACUUUGGGCCACGGACUCAGCUCUCUGCGUAAAGUCUCUCAUCUCCGGAAUCAUCCUAACAACGCUGGCUUCGUAAGGCAGUUGUGAAGACCCGUGCCUCUCCUCCCAGCGCUUCACCUCUCAUCCCGCUGCAGAAAGGAAUGUUUCAACAGGGAGCCAAGAUGAAAUUGUAACGCCUUCUCUUCUCAAAGUCCUAGACUCCCACCCCUGCCUCAGAAGCAGCUCCUCUGCUCACGAGCCAAAGCCGCCCGGAAGUCCCUUCCCGGGGUCAGUGCCGCUUGGGUGUCGGAUGCCCACCUGCCCAAGCUUGGCGGUCUCCACAUUAGGACCCGUGAAACGUCAAAACUACAAAGCAUUUGGGAAGUGGUGGACUAGUCAGAACCAGGACAAGCCUUAGGAUGAUCCCGGAUCCAGGGCAGGCUUUUUACCGGGCUUGGGGAUGAUCCUCGCGGCCUUUGGUGCUGACCUGAUGUUUUCCCACUGCUCAAGAGGUGAGAAAAUGUAUGUACGCUGGGACGGUGAGUAUCUGCAUUUGGCUGGAGCACACAGCCAGCAUGGCAGAACGUGUUGUUUCGAACAGUUGGUUGGGGCCACAUUUUUAAGGACCUUGAAGACUUUACUGAGGCGUUCCAUUGUUUUGGAUAGGCAGUUUGGAAGCCGUGAAGAUUGUGAAACAGGUUGGAGGAGAAAUGGCCAAAUCAAGUGGCCAGGGUUAGACCCUAAGGAUGUUAAUAUGGCUGAAAUGUGUAGGUUUGGCCAAGCUGGGACCAGUGAGAACCGACAUCAGUUAGAAACUUGCAACAGUCUGAAGGAAAGGUGUUAUGGAGGUUGUCCAGCUUUAUUGUGAGCUUUGUCAUUGUUCGGGUGUUGAAAAACAGGUGUCGGAAUUCCCCCGUGGCUCAGUGGCUUAAGGAUCUGGUGUUGUUACUGCUGGAGCUUGGGGCACGACUGUGGCUUGGGUUUGAUCCCUGGCCUAGGAACUUCUGCAUGCCGUGGGCAUGGCCAAAAAAUAAAAUAAAAUAAAAUAAAUAAAAUAAAAUAAAGUAAAAUAAAAUAAAAGAAAGUGAGAUGUUACCUCUCAAAUUCCACAGACUUUCUUGUCCUGGCUAGGAUUUUGCCUGGUUCAACUAAAAAAACAAAAACAAAAAAACAAAAGAAACUUUGCCUUGCAUUUCAAAGGUUCAAAGGUACUUGUUUCAAAUGUGCUUCUCAAGCUGCAUGUGGUACUCAUGGCAUCGUGAACGUCUGUGUCGUUCCCUGAAGCUCCAUGUCGUUUGACCAUCUCCGGCUGAUUGCAUUGAAAGAUAGGCGUCAUUUCACACAGACCCGCACAUGGCUUCGGAUGUGCUGUGUGUGAGCUGGAAUAGUGGGGCCUCAUUCCAUUCCGAAGGGAGAGGAAGUGGAGGAUUUGCCUGUGAUGUUGGCCACUAUUUGGCUUAUUGUUGAAGAGGAAAAUAUAAGGGCUGAGCAAUUUUGACCUGACUUUUUCUGUCCCUAAGAGACACUUGUCACUAGUCAGUGGCUUAGGAUACCCAGCAAAUAUUUAAAAGGUUAAUUCGUUUCAAUGAAAAAAGUUAUCCUCCAUACCUCUCAUUAUAUGAACUUUUGGCAAAGGAGAUUUCUCCCUUUACGUACUUCUUAUGCUAGACACAUUCCAUCAUCUCCCCAUGAAGAGAAACAAGGCUGAAAAUGGUAGAAUAAUUCUGAGUCGUGGGAGUACCAUAGCAUUCACAGGAACCUCGAGUAAGUACUAGGAACUUUGACCCUUACGGUUAAUUUGCGAGUCCUUGGCAAUGAGAUGGCAUGUGUUUCUUCACUGUGAAGCAAAGGAAACCUAUUAUGUCACAGGUAAGUUUCUGUCCUGAUGCCACGCUGACCUUGUUGCUGCCAUGCACUUACACAGACAGCUCAUCUGGUCCCCACUGCUCCAGUCAUUGUGAUGAUUUGUGUAUUUUUAUUUUCAAAGAAGAUCUGUUUGCAUCAUUUUAUUUCUAUUUGGACCUGCUCUCAUCGCUGCCCAUGUUUACCCCUUUCCACUAGGUGGCACUCUUACCCAUGAAACUGCUACAGUCAUGCCCGUUACAAGAGGCGGCCAAGUAGGGGGCUGGGUUGUGCUUUUCUUUUCACUCCUUUAUUUUUUAAUAUUUAUAUAUUUUUUUGGCUGCACUCACGGCAUGCGGCAGUUCCCGGGCCAGGGAUCAAACCUGCGCCACAGCAGUGACAAGGCAAGAUCCUUAACCUGCUGAGCCACCACGGAACUCCUGGGUUGUGUUUUUCUGUGAGGAUGAAACACUUCUGGGUUGCUGGUAUCCUUGUCCCUCUACUCCCAAAUUAGGCACGAAGAUGCUGUUUCAUACUUGCCUGCCUCUUGAAGUCUCAUAAAUUUACUUGGUACUGUGAUAGGCACAGGGGCAAGAUUUGAGCUAAACCACUGUCCUGGCCCUCCACGAGCUGGCCAUCGAGUGGCGGGAGCCAGAUUGUGGAAGAGCCAGAGAAGGGGCCGUGACAGGGGAGGGGGUGCUUCUGACUGGAGCAGACUCCGCAUGAGUAGAGGGUCUGAAGGACUAGCGGUCCAAGACUCUGAUCUGUGUGGCUGUUGGCAGAGGGCGAGGGGCUCCCUGGCGUGCAGUAAAGGGAGAGACUAACGUCAUUGCAUCAUUUCACUGGUAGUGGCCCGGAGGCCGGGGAGGAAAGCAAUGGCCAUUGAUGCUUCCUUCCAUCCCAGAACUGACUGGGCUCUUCUUCAGUCUCAGAGACAGAAGAUGGAACGUGUCCCCCUCUUCCCGAAGCAGUGAGUGGAGAUAUCUAUGGCUCUCUCAUUUGGUUUUACCUAUCCUAUUCCUUAUUUUUGGAAAAUAAAAAAAUAGAAAUUCACCCCCAUAAAAGUAUAACCAUCAGCCAUGUUCCUACCAACAAAAAUUAACAAAAAAUCUUGAUGUUCUGGUUUUCAAAGUUUUCCAUGUUUAUACUUUUAAAAAAUUACACAGACAUCAUAAUAAUACAUCACCUCUUUUUCUCACUUAUUUUAACCUAUAUUCUUCCCAUUCAUAACAGGGCCAGUUCUUGUGUUGCACUAUGGGAUGCCGACACGCUUGGGCAUAAAAUGCCUCACAGCAUGACGGCGGCAGAGAGAACCGUUAUGUUCUGCAUUUUCUGUCUCCUUGCUCCUCAGUGCAAACUCAAUUUCUUUUCCUGGAGUUCAAAAUUACAUUGUGGAAGAGGCGCAAAAUGCAGAAAGAUGAAAAUAAACAGAUUACCUGUGGUCCCUCCCCUUGGAGAGAACCAGAGUUGAUGUUCAUUUUGGUAUAUUUCCUUCUAGUCUUUUUUCUACAUAGUUUUUGAAAAUUAGCUUUGUAUUUGAUCUAAUAUUUUAUAAUCUGCCUUUUUCCACUGAUUGUUUUAUGAUUUCGAAAUACUUCUACUUCAUGAUUUUUAAUAGUUGCCCAGUAUUCCAUCCUAUAGCUAUAGCUAGAAUUAUAUCAUACUUUCUAAUUGCUAUUGCUAGACAUGUAAUGCUCUCCUUUUUUUUUGGUUAUUAUCAUAAUGUAUGUUCUUGUACAUAAAUCUUUGUGUGAAGGUAUAACUAUUAGGAUAAAUUUCUAGAAGUGGAACUUCUGAGUUAAAGACUACGAACAUUGAAAGGUGCUCUUUCAUUGACUUUUUCUUUAUCAAAGUCAUAUGUAUUUAUUAUAGACCAUGCAGAAAUCACAGAUAUACAAAAAAGAGAAUGAAAAAGGACAUGAAUGUUACCUAUAUUUUUACCACUCGGAGGUAAUCACUAUUCAUAUUUUAUUAUAACCAUUUAAUCUACUUUUCUCGGAAUUCCCAUCAUGGCUCAGUGGUAACAAACCCAGCUAGGAUCCAUGAGGAUGCGGGUUGGAUCCCUGGCCUCACUUAGUGGGUUAAGGAUCUGGCAUUGCCGUGAGCUGUGGUGUAGGUCGCAGAUGCAGCUCAGAUCUUGUGUUGCUGUGGCUGUGGCUGUGGCUGUGGCCGGCAGCUGUAGCUCCGAUUCGACCCCUAGCCUGGGAAUUUCCAUAUGCCGCAGGUAUGGCCCUAAAAAGCAAAAAUAAAUAAAUAAAUAAAAUAAAAUAAAAAUAAAAUUCUUUUCUCUAUGUUCUACUCUUUCAUAAGCUUUUUGCUUAAUAUAUUCUGAACAUUUUUAAAAGUUCAUUAUGCUACACCUUCAGUGGUUACAUAGCAUCUCAUUAUACAAAAGCACAAUUUCUUUGACCACCUCGCUACUCUUGGACAUUUAGGUUAUUUUUUUCUCGAACUAUAAACAAUGGAGAGAUGACUAUUCUAUGACUAAGUCUUUGUGAAAAUCCCUGAUUGCUUCUUUUUUUUAAAUAUUUUUUUUUUUGGCCACACGAUGGCAUUUGGAAAUUUCCAGGCCAGGGGUCAAACCCAUACCAUAGCAGCAACCCGAGCUGCUACACUGACAACACCAGAUCCUUAACCUGCUGAGUCACAGGGAACUCCUGAUGGCUUCUUUUGAAUAAAUUCCUAGACAUGCAAUUGUUGGCUCCACAUUUGGUCACAUUUUCCAGGCUUUUGAUGGGUGUUGCUAAAUCACUCUAUAAUUUUCAUGUUAGGUGCAAAGUAUAGGCAUGCUCUUUUUGUCUGAAUUCUUGAUAUCACUCAAUUUUUUUGCCAAUUUGACUGCAAAUAAUUAGUAUCUUAUUUUGAAAUUUACAUUUAUUUGGUUACUAGUGAAGUGAACUUUUUUUUUGCUAUUUACUCUUUUGCCCAAUUUUCUUUUCUGGUAUAGAUAGUUUUCUUGUUUCCUUAAGAAAUGUAAAAAAAAAUUAAGUUAGUCUUUGUCAUUCAUGCAGGUUUCUCUUUUGACUAAUUGUUGUGUUAUGUUAUGUGUCUAGAUUUCCUAAAAUUAAAUUGCACUCUUGAAAUAAUCCCUCUUUGCUUAUGGUGUAGCAUUCCUUUUGUCUUGCUGAGUUUGGUUUGCUGGCAUUUUAUUUAGGAUUUUUGCGUGUCUGUUCAUAACUGAUAUUAGUCUUCAACUUUCUCUCUGUGUUUGUGCAUGUGUUCAUCAGGGUUUAUGGGCAGGAUAAACUUUUGUUUUAUAAAGUGAAUGGGGUUCAUUUCCUUCUUUUUCUCUGUACUGGAAACUACUUUUAGAGCAUGGAAAUGAUCUGUUCCUUGUAAAUUAGGAAGAACUUGCUCAUAAAACUGUGUGGACACUCUAAUAAUCAUUGGAGGAAAUGUUUUCAAACAGCGCAGUUCCACCCCCCGCCAUGUUUUCUACCUUGUGAUUCUCACUUGCUAAGUUUCUUAAUCAUCCAUUUCAUUGAGAUUUUAAAAUUCACUAAGUUUCAAGCUUUCUGAGAUGUAAUAACAUAUACGAUUCAUCCAUUUAAAGCGGUUCUAAUAUAUUCACAGAGCUGUAUAUUCACAACCAUCACCACAAUCAUCGCAAUAAAUUUUAGAACAUUUUCCAAACCUCCAAAAGAAACCCCAUAGCCACUAGCGGUCACUCUGCAUGUCCCCUCAAUUGCCUCCAGUCCUUGACAACUACUAGUCUACUUUCUGUCUCCACAUAUUUACCUGCUCUAGACCUUUCCUAUACGUGGAAUCGUAUGGCAUGUAGUCUUCUGUGACUGGAUGCUCGCACUCAACAUGUCUCCAGGGUUCGCAUAUGUAUUAACAUAUUCUAGUACUUCAUUUUCUCUUUAAUUUUUUUUGAAAACUAAUAGACUGUUAUUUUUUAGAGCAGUUUCAGUUUUACAGGCAGUGAGCAGAUAGUACGGAGCUCCCUCUUACUCCCCUCUUCACACUCCCCUGACCAUAGUUUUCCCCACUAAUAUCUUGCAUUUGGGGUGGUACAUGCUUUACAAUUAAUAAACCAAUAAUGAAACAUUAUUAACUCAAGUUCAGUAUUUACACUAGGGUUCACUCUUUGUGUUGUACAGUUCAGUGGGUUUUGACAAAUGCAUAAUAUCAUGCAUCCACUGUCACAGCAUCAGAUAGAAUCAUUUUGAUGAAGAGUUGCGGCACAGGGGAUUUUGGGUGCAGUCCUUGCCUCCCUCAGAAUCUCCAGCAACCACUAACCUUUUUAAUGUUUCCAUGGUUCUAUCUUUUCCAGAAUGUCAGAUAGUUGAAAUCAUAGCUUAUAUAGCCUUUCGGAUUGGCUUCUCUUAGUAAUAUGCAUUUAAGGUUCUUCCAUGUCUUUUUCAAGGCUUGAUAGCUCACUUCUUUGUAGCACUAAAUAACAUUCCUUUGUUUGGAUGUACCAUAGUUUAUUUAUCUGUACACUGACUGAAGGACAUCUUGGUUGCUUCUAAGUUUUGGCAAUGAUGAAUAAUAAAGCUGCUAUAAACAUCUGUACCUAGGUUUUUGUGUAGACAUAAGUUUUCAACACGUUUGGGUAAAUACCAAGGAGCACCAUCACUGGAUCAUAUGGUGAGAGUAUGCUUAGUUUUGUAAGAAGGUGCCAAACUGUCCUCCAAGUUAGCUGUUCCAUUUCAUAUUCCCACCAGCGAUGACUGAGAGUUUGAGAGUUCCAGUUGCUCUAUAACCUUCCUAACAUUUGGUGUUGUCAGUCAUUUAAAUUUUAGCCAUCCUAAUAGUACAUAGAAGUAUCUCGUUAUUGUUUUAAUUUGUAAUUCCCUAAUUAUAUAUGAUAUGGAGCAUCUUUUCAUAUGUUUAUUUGCCAUCUGUAUGUCUUCUUUGGUGAAGUGUCCAGAUCCCUUGCCCAUGUUUAAAUUGGAGUGUUUUCUUAUUGUUGAGUUUUAAGG